CAGCAGCCGCGGUAAUACGUAGGGUGCGAGCGUUAAUCGGAAUUACUGGGCGUAAAGCGUGCGCAGGCGGUGCGUUAAGAGCGAUGUGAAAUCCCCGGGCUUAACCUGGGAACUGCAUUGUUGACUGGCGCGCUAGAGUAUGGCAGAGGGGGGUAGAAUUCCACGUGUAGCAGUGAAAUGCGUAGAGAUGUGGAGGAAUACCGAUGGCGAAGGCAGCCCCCUGGGCCAAUACUGACGCUCAUGCACGAAAGCGUGGGGAGCAAACAGGAUUAGAUACCCUGGUAGUCCACGCCCUAAACGAUGUCAACUAGUUGUUGGGGAUUCAUUUCCUUAGUAACGAAGCUAACGCGUGAAGUUGACCGCCUGGGGAGUACGGUCGCAAGAUUAAAACUCAAAGGAAUUGAC
rnacentral:rRNA from 1 species